UUUUAGUUGAACAUGCACUUACUUGUACGUUGUACUCUAGGACUUGUAUUUGAUCUACAGAUGAAUGAUGGAAUAAUGUAAUUUACUUCUGUACCUCAAUUCGGUCUCACUAUAUUUCAGUGAGCGGCUUUUAAAAGUUAAAACUGCAAGCAUAAUACACACAAGUAACGUAACACUGUGUCGUAUUUACUUAACGUAGGGCAGUUGCGCUAUAUCCUAGUGGAGGGCAUAAUUAUUAAUUAAUAGGCAUUAUAGGCCAGAGAGAAUUUUGCGCCCCUUCACACCUGCACCCGGGGUGAAUGCCCCCCUCUUGCUAUGCCACUGAUUAUUUGGAUACUUUUGUGGACUAGGACUUGGUAUGGCCUAAUGGUUAGAGUACUCGACUCACAAUCUGCUGGUUUUGUGAUGGAACCUGACACUAAACAUGCUCCCCUUUCAGCAGUGUGUGUGGUAUUGAUGGAGGAUUAUAAAGUUAUUGUCACUCCCACUGUUGUUUAUUCAUGAGUAGCCAAAGAAUUGGCAGCUGUUGCCUUCCCUCUAGUCUAUUGCUUCAAAAUUAGUGGUAGCUAGUGCAAAUAUCUGUUGACAAGCUUGCACAAAAUUCUGUAAACAAACCUUUGUGGAGCUUUUAAUAUUUUAAAACUUUCAUAACUAGACAACUGCUAGUUAUACAAUACACAAUGGAGAUAGAUGAAGAUAACAAACUCUCGUUCCUUGACAUGAUAGUUACUAAGAUAUAUAACUCGUGUACUACAGGAUUUUAGAGGAAACCUACAGAUAACAUCCCAUCGGUGUAAAGACAGGCACCAUAGACUGCCUAGUCUCAAGAAUGGAAAAAUUUAACACACAUCAUAUGAAAAAAGAAGAAGGAAAAUACAUCACUGCAUCAUUAUUCGACAAUGGAUAUAUUGUACACUUGAUAAAGAAAAAAACUAUAAAUAUCAAGAAUAAGCAGUAGGAAAAUUGCAAACCCAACUAUAUUUUUCUAUGUUACAGGUCUCUGUGAAAACAUACAGUGGAUACAUAAACAGCCUAAAGCCAGAACAAUAUUCAGAAGGUAACAUCCCAGUUCGGCUACUCCCAUUGGCAAUAGACUAAAUUGGAACAAACCAUUUAGAAGCUAUGACACAAUAUUAAAUAACCUGUUUCACGGAGUGUGUUGCCAACUUAACUUUUGAGAUGUGUGGUUGUAUGUAUGAUGAUUAUCCUUAUUUAUAUGAAUUAUCUGGAACAGUUCGUCGCUGUCAACAGUCUAUGGAAGAAGGAGUCUGCAAAACAAAUCCACUUAAGUCGGAGACAGUUGAUGCACGUCAUUAUUGUAAUGGUAUAUGCCGUACUCCAUGCAG